rnacentral:tRNA from 1 species
GGGGUUGUGGCUUAGUGGCAGAGCACUUGCUUCACAUGUACGAGGCACUGGGUUCAAUCCUCAGCACCACA